rnacentral:rRNA from 1 species
UACGUAGGGUCCGAGCGUUGUCCGGAAUUACUGGGCGUAAAGCGCGCGCGGGCGGCUUCCCAAGCGCCACGUGAAAGCCCCGGGCUCAACCCGGGAGGGUCGCGGCGAACUGGGAGGCUUGAGGCCGGUAGAGGUGGGUGGAACUCCUGGUGGAGUGGUGAAAUGCGUAGAGAUCAGGAAGAACACCCGUGGCGAAGGCGGCCCACUGGGCCGGUGCUGACGCUGAGGCGCGAAGGCGUGGGGAGCGAACGGG